AGCAGCAUAAUGUUUCUAUACUUGAACAAAGAAAAAUACCUGUUACAAGGUAAGAGGAAAAAUGAGAUCAAGAAACACGAUUUUAUAAGUCCAAAUGAUUCGCUGCUACUCUUUUUGUUUAUAAAAUCCUCUCUUUCCUUUUCUGCCUGCAAGCCGCUAAAGAAAUUAAUGAUAUCUCUUACUGUUCUUCUUAAUUUCUUAGUGAAAUUUCGAGAGAAAAUUGCAGUAAUUUGCUACGUAACCGGCAGUGAUUUGCUCCCAUGCAGAAACACUAAUCAAUAAUUUACCAUUCCAAGCUGCAAUAUCACAUAAAUGUCAGCUGAAAUUUAUUUCCUUUUCUAGGUGAUUCUGUGUAUGCGAUAGAUGGUAUUCUUAACAGCAAAUAUAUAAGUGGAGUAAAUUUCCGAAUCUUCAAGUGGAAAGAAAAGCUUUAGGAGAAGAGGAAUGAAAAAGGGCUUAUUUCUGCUUCAGGUUUAAGAUGAAUUAGGCACUCAAAAUAGCAACAAAUAUAAGUGGAGUAAAUUGCUUACAUUAUACUUUUAACAAACAUCAAAUGUGCUAGCAAGGCACAAAGUGCAUGAAGUAAAAACUGCUAGUUCAACCAAAAUUCACUGGCUGCACUAAACUAAUUAACCAAAUUCAAAUUUACAACAUGCCUCUACUUAACACAACAUAGCCAUUUCACCGUAAAUUACUAAUCAGGCCGUGUCUAUCCCCUUCAUUUUUCCUUUGGUAGGUGAUUUUUCAUGGCGGACCGUCACGUUCACAUUCAUAGAAAUCAGAUCUCUUCUUUGUUAUUUAGCCGAACUUGAGAUUGGAACAUUGUGACAUAUCGUCAACUGCUUCGUGGACGGCUGGUUUAGCCAACGUAGCUUUAGCGUUACUAGAUUCACCGAUUGCUUCUCAAUCUUUGCACCAUUCCCAAAACCAGUACUUCACACUGCAAUAUUUGAAAAUUUUGCCUUUGUUAACAAUGUCCCUUUCAACCUCGAAAAACUUCUGAAAUCCAUGCAUACAACGUGCGCAUCGAUGUUUUCUCGGGCAAUCACCAAAGAAGUGUCCAACACUUCUGCAGCUGUGGCAAACUCCGGAGUUCUUUCUUGGCAUUCCGUCUUCCUUAAUCAAACACAUUAACAGACUUAUAAGUCUACUAAAUGCCAAACAAAAAAUAUGGAGACUUUAGUAUCUCAGAUCAAAUCUCUAACGAACAAAGAAAUAGAAAAUUUUAACAUCUCUGCCAAACAAAAAACCAUAGAAUGGAAACUUUAGCUUAUUAACUACCUCUUCUUCAUAUUCAUCCGGCCAAAAUACAUUCCAAGAUAUAGGCUUUCACAGCAACAGAUUUGAUUCCAACACAAAAUUUCACAUUUGCAAAACAAAGAAGGAUAACAAUGUAAUCACAUAGUGAUGCGGACAUCCAUUUAUUAUUUAUUUUCUAUUUGGACUAUUAGUUAUAUUUUAUUUGGACUAUUGUUUAUAUUUUCGUUAUUGGGCUUGUUUAGUGGGUUUGGCCCAAGCCCUUCUCUUUAGGGUUUGUGUUCUGCUAUUUAUUUCUGUUUUGUUUCUCAUUUGAGACAGUUGAUGAUGAAUUAAUUGAAUAAAGUUGGCUGCAGCCUCUG
rnacentral:lncRNA from 1 species